rnacentral:rRNA from 1 species
CCUACGGGAGGCAGCAGUGGGGAAUCUUGCGCAAUGGGCGAAAGCCUGACGCAGCAACGCCGCGUGAGGGACGAAGGUUUUCUGAAUUGUAAACCUCUUUCAGCAGGGAAGAUAAUGACGGUACCUGCAGAAGAAGCACCGGCUAACUACGUGCCAGCAGCCGCGGUGAUACGUAGGGUGCAAGCGUUGUCCGGAUUUAUUGGGCGUAAAGAGCUCGUAGGCGGUUUGGUAAGUCGGUUGUGAAAUCCCCAGGCUCAACCUGGGGCCUGCAUUCGAUACUGCCAUGACUAGAGUUUGGUAGGGGACCACGGAAUUCCUGGUGUAGCGGUGGAAUGCGCAGAUAUCAGGAGGAACACCAGUAGCGAAGGCGGUGGUCUGGGCCAAUACUGACGCUGAGGAGCGAAAGCGUGGGGAGCAAGCAGGAUUAGAUACCCUGGUAGUCCACGCCGUAAACGGUGGGCACUAGGUGUGGGGACUAUUCAACGGUUUCCGCGCCGACGCUAACGCAUUAAGUGCCCGCUGGGGAUCGGCCGCAAGGCUAAACUCAAAGGAAUUUGACGGCNGAGACGNGCGAGCGACGACGAGGAGAG